UACGAAGGGUGCAAGCGUUAAUCGGAAUUACUGGGCGUAAAGGGCUCGUAGGCGGCCAACUAAGUCAUACGUGAAAUCCCUCAGCUUAACUGGGGAACUGCGUGUGAUACUGGAUGGCUUGGAUUUGGGAGAGGGAUGCGGAAUUCCAGGUGUAGCGGUGAAAUGCGUAGAUAUCUGGAGGAACACCGGUGGCGAAGGCGGCAUCCUGGACCAAUAUUGACGCUGAGGAGCGAAAGCCAGGGGAGCAAACGGG
rnacentral:rRNA from 1 species